rnacentral:rRNA from 1 species
AGUGAACGCUGGCGGUAGGCCUAACACAUGCAAGUCGAACGGCAGCACAGUAAGAGCUUGCUCUUACGGGUGGCGAGUCGCGGACGGGUGAGGAAUACAUCGGAAUCUACUUUUUCGCGGGGGAUAACGUAGGGAAACUUACGCUAAUACCGCAUACGACCUACGGGUGAAAGCAGGGGAUCUUCGGACCUUGCGCGAUUGAAUGAGCCGAUGUCGGAUUAGCUAGUUGGCGGGGUAAAGGCCCACCAAGGCGACGAUCCGUAGCUGGUCUGAGAGGAUGGUCAGCCACACUGGAACUGAGACACGGUCCAGACUCCUACGGGAGGCAGCAGUGGGGAAUAUUGGACAAUGGGCGCAAGCCUGAUCCAGCCAUACCGCGUGGGUGAAGAAGGCCUUCGGGUUGUAAAGCCCUUUUGUUGGGAAAGAAAAGCAGCAGGUUAAUACCCCGCUGUUCUGACGGUACCCAAAGAAUAAGCACCGGCUAACUUCGUG